UUAGAAAUAAACUAUUCCCUAAAACAAACUUUUCCUUCCAAAUACAUUACUCCACUCUCUUUCCACGAUAAUUAGAAGAAAAAUAUGAGAGAGAGAGUAUUCACUCCAAACCUUAUCUCUCUCUCAUCAUCUUCUGAUCUCUCCCUUCUCAUAUGAAUUUCUCCCUCAACAAUCACCCUCGCCGAAGAUGAGUGGUGGACGGUGGCAGUGGCGCCACCGCCAUCCCCUUCGGCGGCUAACAACUGAAAAUACCUAAACCCUACAAACAAACCCCCACCAUUUUUUUUUGUGUUCUUUCCCAAUCUAAACUUCGUUUCAUCAAAAAACCAACCUAAACAUAGAUCAAACGAUCCCAAAAAUAAAAAAUCCUAAAACCUAUAACACAAACCCCUAUGUAAUAGCCAUUAACAAUAAACCAAAACACAUGAGACAAAACAACGAGGGGCGAGUUCGAAGAAACACCACAGUAAAUCAAGAAGAAAAAAAAUCAAGAUCUCACAGAUGUUCAGGCACAAGAAGAACUACCUAGAUGUUCAGGCACAACAACAAUCGCUCCCUAGCCCUCUGCUUCGAUUUCGAAGUUUGGAUAAGUCAAAAGAUGGAGGAAAGAUUCCAUUAUGUGCAAGGUUUUACACAUGAAGACAAAGGCCAAGUCACAAUCUUGCAAAAACAAAAGGGCCUACACUCUUGAGAAUAUUUUGCUUACUAUUUUUUCUGAUUAAAUGUAAAAAAAUGUAAUUCACAAUGUGUUAAGUUCUCUUAGUUAUUGAACUUAAUUAUAGAACUUAGUGUAACAAAAUGUUAUUUCUCUUAAAUUAGACCAUUUAUUUUAACUCA